rnacentral:lncRNA from 1 species
ACCAAAACACAAAGAAUGCAUAUAUUUUCACAGAAAGACAAUCACCAAAACACUAGCUUCCCUUACCUUGAAUGAUCUUAGGUUCCUUUAUUUGCCAAGGUUUCCAGCCAAAACUUUCACCUCCUUCGAGUUCACGUUCUCGCCUCAAGUAACUUCAAACUAUUCUUCUGAUUUUCCUAGCCACUAUCUCACAAUGCACACCCUACUUCUCUCUGUUUUUCCAAACCUUUUAACCAGUAAUCCCCCAUCUCCCCUUAACCUCUCUACUUUAAUAGCCCAUAAAUCCA